rnacentral:rRNA from 1 species
UGGGGAAUUUUGGACAAUGGACGAAAGUCUGAUCCAGCCAUGCCGCGUGCGGGAAGAAGGCCUUCGGGUUGUAAACCGCUUUUGUCAGGGAAGAAAUCCUUUGAGCUAAUACCUCGGGGGGAUGACGGUACCUGAAGAAUAAGCACCGGCUAACUACGUGCCAGCAGCCGCGGUAAUACGUAGGGUGCAAGCGUUAAUCGGAAUUACUGGGCGUAAAGCGUGCGCAGGCGGUUAUGUAAGACAGAGGUGAAAUCCCCGGGCUCAACCUGGGAACUGCCUUUGUGACUGCAUAGCUUGAGUGCGGCAGAGGGGGAUGGAAUUCCGCGUGUAGCAGUGAAAUGCGUAGAUAUGCGGAGGAACACCGAUGGCGAAGGCAAUCCCCUGGGCCUGCACUGACGCUCAUGCACGAAAGCGUGGGGAGCAAACAGGAUUAGAUACCCUGGUAGUCCACGCCCUAAACGAUGUCAACUGGUUGUUGGGAAGGUUCCUUCUCAGUAACGUAGCUAACGCGUGAAGUUGGCCGCCUGGGGAGUACGGCCGCAAGGUU